AUCAUUCACAAUGGGGGAAACCCUGAUGGUGCGACGCCGCGUGGGGGAAUGAAGGUCUUCGGAUUGUAAACUGUUGUCGCAGGGGCAGAAGACAGUGACGGUACCCUGUGAGAAAGUCACGGCUAACUACGUGCCAGCAGCCGCGGUAAUACAGAGGUCUCAAGCGUUGUUCGGAAUCACUGGGCGUAAAGCGUGCGUAGGCUGUUUCGUAAGUCGUGUGUGAAAGGCGCGGGCUCAACCCGCGGACGGCACAUGAUACUGCGAGACUAGAGUAAUGGAGGGGGAACCGGAAUUCUCGGUGUAGCAGUGAAAUGCGUAGAUAUCGAGAGGAACACUCGUGGCGAAGGCGGGUUCCUGGACAUUAACUGACGCUGAGGCACGAAGGCCAGGGGAGCGAA
rnacentral:rRNA from 1 species